rnacentral:rRNA from 1 species
GAUGAACGCUAGCGGCAGGCUUAACACAUGCAAGUCGAGGGGUAGAGGUUGCUUGCAACCUUGAGACCGGCGCACGGGUGCGUAACGCGUAUGCAACCUACCUUUUACAGAGGGAUAGCCCAGAGAAAUUUGGAUUAAUACCUCAUAGUAUAUAACAUUCGCAUGUUUGUUAUAUUAAAGUUCCAACGGUAAAAGAUGGGCAUGCGUCCCAUUAGCUAGAUGGUAAGGUAACGGCUUACCAUGGCAACGAUAGGUAGGGGUCCUGAGAGGGAGAUCCCCCANACUGGUACUGAGACACGGACCAGACUCCUACGGGAGGCAGCAGUGAGGAAUAUUGGACAAUGGGCGCAAGCCUGAUCCAGCCAUGCCACGUGCAGGAAGAAGCAUCUAUGGUGUGUAAACUGCUUUUGUACGGGAAGAAACACUCCUUCGUGAAGGAGCUUGACGGUACCGUAAGAAUAAGGAUCGGCUAACUCCGUGCCAGCAGCCGCGGUAA